rnacentral:rRNA from 1 species
UACGAAGGGGCGAGCGUUGUUCGGAUUUACUGGGCGUAAAGGGCGCGCAGGCGGCUAUCCAAGUCAGGCGUGAAAGCCCCGGGCUUAACCUGGGAGGUGCGUCUGGGACUGGGUGGCUAGAGAUCGGGAGAGGAGAGUGGAAUUCCCAGUGUAGAGGUGAAAUUCGUAGAUAUUGGGAAGAACACCGGUGGCGAAGGCGGCUCUCUGGACCGAUACUGACGCUGAGGCGCGAAAGCGUGGGGAGCAAACAGG